UACGGAGGGCGCAAGCGUUUUUCGGAAUCACUGGGCGUAAAGCGCGUGUAGGCGGCCGGGCAAGUCGGAUGUGAAAUCCCGAGGCUCAACCUCGGAACUGCACUGGAAACUGCUCGGCUCGAGUGUCGGAGAGGAUGGCGGAAUUCCCGGUGUAGGGGUGAAAUCCGUAGAGAUUGGGAGGAACACCAGCGGCGAAGGCGGCCAUCUGGACGUUCACUGACGCUGAGACGCGAAAGCUUGGGGAGCAAACGGG
rnacentral:rRNA from 1 species